GAUGAACGCUGGCGGCGCGCCUAACACAUGCCAGUCGAACGGCACCCCUCCUCGGAGGGAAGCGAGUGGCGAACGGCUGAGUAACACGUGGAGAACCUGCCCCCUCCCCCGGGAUAGCCGCCCGAAAGGACGGGUAAUACCGGAUACCCCGGGGUGCCGCAUGGCACCCCGGCUAAAGCCCCGACGGGAGGGGAUGGCUCCGCGGCCCAUCAGGUAGACGGCGGGGUGACGGCCCACCGUGCCGACAACGGGUAGCCGGGUUGAGAGACCGACCGGCCAGAUUGGGACUGAGACACGGCCCAGACUCCUACGGGAGGCAGCAGUGGGGAAUCUUGCGCAAUGGGGGGAACCCUGACGCAGCGACGCCGCGUGCGGGACGGAGGCCUUCGGGUCGUAAACCGCUUUCAGCAGGGAAGAGUCAAGACUGUACCUGCAGAAGAAGCCCCGGCUAACUACGUG
rnacentral:rRNA from 1 species